UGGAAAAGAUCACUUUAGAGAGUGAAAUGAUAAAAAGGUCAUCUAGUUUCCCACUUGAUAAAAAUGUCCAUUAUGAAUUGGUAGUAAUAUUAAUUUAGUCCUUAUGAAUAAUAAGAUGAUGUUAAAAAAGGUUAGUUUUAAAUUUUUUUGAUUACGAUUCUGCCCUUAAACCUGUUCAAAAUCUCAGAGCUCAAAUCUUCUCUCUCGCGUUACCCAAGCUCCGGUCCAACAACCAGUACGGUGAAGACAGUGAUGACGAGGCCAUGCCAUAGAACGCCAAGGCCGGGGAGGAGAAGAAGUCGAAGUCGAAGAAACCGAAGAAGCCAAAGGUUACCAUGGCUGAGGCAGCGGCGAAGAUCGAAGUGAACGAUCUCUUGGCGGAACUGAUCCAACUUCCGGUGAAUUGUGUUGGUUAUAAUCUGACAUUUCUUUUCCGGAUGCGGUUUUCUGAUUUAGUUUGAUAUUAUUUUGAUUUAGAUUUGAAUUUUAACUUGAAUCAAUAUGACUAUUUCCAAUUGCAAUUUUGAGGAAGAUAUAUGGGUGAUGAAGUUCGCGGACUUUUUCGACCAGGCAUUAUCUGCAGUGACUUCCGCCCAGUUUCCAUGGGUCAAGAUGUUCAAGGAGCCAACUGUGGUGAAGAUUGCCAAUUAUUUACUGUUGUAGCGAUGGUAUUGCAAAGAAAACCUGAUGUCUUGAUCAUUAUAUUGCCGACAUUGAGGGAAACUUCAAAGUAUCAAGGACAAGAUAACCUUCCAGUAAUUGUAUGGAUGAUAGUUCAAGCUAGUGAAGGAGACCUGGCUUUGGCGUUGUAUGCAUCGACACACAACGUACGUAUUGCCUCUAGU